rnacentral:ncRNA from 1 species
AGGCGGGAAGUGCGUGGACACCACGUUACGGCCCGUGCUGAACAUCAUGCCUGUCGUGGCUUGGUUCCCUUCAUCAGGUGCCUUGCUUUGGCCGGCGCGUUUACUUUGAAAAAAAUUAGAGUGCUCAACGCAGGCGAUUCGCCUGAAUAACAGUGCAUGGAAUAAUAGAACAAGAUCCUGUUUCUGUUCUGUUGGUUUUUGGAAUACAGGAUAAUGAUUAAGAGGGACAGACGGGGGCAUUCGUAUUGCGGCGCUAGAGGUGAAAUUCUUGGACCGUCGCAAGACGAACUACUGCGAAAGCAUUUGCCAAGAAUGUUUUCAUUGAUCAAGAAC